GUAGGUGGCAAGCGUUGUCCGGAAUUAUUGGGCGUAAAGCGCGCGCAGGCGGUUCUUAAGUCUGAUGUGAAAGCCCACGGCUCAACCGUGGAGGGUCAUUGGAAACUGGAGAACUUGAGUACAGAAGAGGAAAGCGGAAUUCCACGUGUAGCGGUGAAAUGCGUAGAGAUGCGGAGGAACACCAGUGGCGAAGGCGGCUUUCUGGUCUGUAACUGACGCUGAGGCGCGAAAGCGUGGGGAGCAAACAGGAUUAGAUACCCUGGUAGUCCACGCCGUAAACGAUGAGUGCUAAGUGUUAGGGGGGUUUUCCGCCCCCCUUAGUGCUGCAGCUAACGCAUUAAGCACUCCGCCUGGGAGUACGGCCGCAAGGCUG
rnacentral:rRNA from 1 species